rnacentral:lncRNA from 1 species
CGCGCUUUGCCAUGGCAAUAGCUCGCACGCGCCGCCGUCUCUUUCUCUUCCACUUUCUACGCAGGUACGGAGUCGAAGAUUUCAAACUCGGUGUUCCCCCCUGUUCAUUUCAUUUCAAUGCAAUUUUUCCCAACAAAGCAAAGAAGCCCAAACCAAAAAUUAAUAAAUCAGUGAAGAUGUGAAAUCACAGUGGGUGAUUGAGAGAGUAAAUAUUGGGGUUUGGACCUGGGUUUUUGGGGAUUUUACAGAAAUUAUUGCACACUGACUCGAUGUGAGAGAGAGAAGAAGAGAGACGAUCUGUAAGAUGGCGGUUGGUGGAUUUUGG